rnacentral:rRNA from 1 species
GAUGAACGCUGACAGAAUGCUUAACACAUGCAAGUCAACUUGGUGGCGGACGGGUGAGCAACGCGUAAAGAACUUGCCUCACAGCUAGGGACAACAUGUAGAAAUGAAAGCUAAUACCUGAUACUGUGCGAGAGCUUUGCGUACCAUUUGCUAGUUGGAGAGGUAACAACUCACCAAGGCGAGGAUGGGUAGCCGGCCUGAGAGGGUGAACGGCCACAAGGGGACUGAGACACGGCCCUUACUCCUGAGGGAGGCAGCAGUGGGGAAUAAUGGAAAACGGACCGAAGUCUGAUCAAGCAAUUCUGUGUGCACGAUGAAGUUUUUCGGAAUGUAAAGUGCUUUCAGUUGGGAAGCGGUACCAACAGAAGAAGUGACGGCUAACUACGUGCCAGCAGCCGCGGUAAUAC